rnacentral:rRNA from 1 species
AGACCGUUCUCUUUCGAGGCCGGUCAUCGGAAUGGGUACAAUUUAAACCCUUUAACGAGUUCUAUGAGAGGGCAAGUCUGGUGCCAGCAGCCGCGGUAAUUCCAGCUCUCAAAGUGCAUAGAAUUAUUGCUGCGGUUAAAAAGCUCGUAGUUGGAUCUGUGCCAUAGGACGGGGUCCACCUUCGGGUGCGUACUCCGCUCCUAGGCUUUUUGCUGGUUUUCCCGUCGUAGCCUUCACUGGUUGCGGCGGGUGGCUGGCGAGUUUACUUUGAGAAAAUCAGAGUGCUCAAUACAGGCGUCUAGCUUGAAUGAUUGUGCAUGGAAUAAUAGAAAAGGAUUUCGGUCCUCUUUUAUUGGUUUUGUGGACUGAGAUAAUGGUUAACAGGGACAAACGGGGGCAUUCGUAUCGCUGCGUGAGAGGUGAAAUUCUUGGACCGUAGCGAGACGCCCUACUGCGAAAGCAUUUGCCAAGAAUGUCUUCAUUAAUCAAGAACGAAAGUCAGAGGUUCGAAGGCGAUCAGAUACCGCCCUAGUUCUGACCGUAAACGAUGCCAACUAGCGAUCCGCCGGUGGAUUUUUAGCCCUGGUGGGUAGCUUCCCGGAAACGAAAGUCUUCCGGUUCCGGGGGAAGUAUGGUUGCAAAGCUGAAACUUAAAGGAAUUGACGGAAGGGCACCACCAGGAGUGGAGCCUGCGGCUUAAUUUGACUCAACACGGGGAAACUCACCCGGCCCGGACACCGUAAGGAUUGACAGAUUGAUAGCUCUUUCAUGAUUCGGUGGUUGGUGGUGCAUGGCCGUUCUUAGUUCGUGGAUCGAUUUGUCUGGUUUAUUCCGAUAACGAGCGAGACUCUAGCCUACUAAAUAGUAACGAGAUUGCCAUUGUCUUAGUUGCUUCUUAGAGGGAUCUUCGGUGUUUAGCCGCACGAGAUUGAGCAAUAACAGGUCUGUGAUGCCCUUAGAUGUCCGGGGCUGCACGCGCGCUACACUGGCGAAAUCAGCGUGCUGUAUCCAUUCUCGAAAGAGAUUGGUAAACCCAUGAAAAUUUGCCGUGCUUGGGAUCGGAAAUUGCAAUUAUUUUCCGUGAACGAGGAAUUCCAAGUAAGUGCGAGUCAUCAACUCGCUCUGAUUACGUCCCUGCCCUUUGUACACACCGCCCGUCGCUGCCCGGGACUGAGCCAUUUCGAGAAGAUCAGGGACCGGUGGGCUGUGGCCUCUUCGGAGGUUCGGUCCGUUGGAAACUGAUUUGAUCGCAGUGGCUUGAACCGGGCAAAAGUCGU